rnacentral:rRNA from 1 species
ACUUACCAGGUCAAGACAUGGGCGUGAUUGACAGGCUAAUGACUUUUCUCGAUUCCAUGGAUGGUGGUGCAUGGUCGCACUUAGUUGGUGCAGUGAUUUGUCAGGUUUAUUCCGGUAACGAACGAGACCUCGGCCUUGUAAAUAGCUAUGCUGCUUACAGGGACAUUGGCGGCUACGCCAAGGAAGCUCGAGGCAAUUGCAGAUCUGGAAUGCCCUUAGAUGUCCUGGGUCGCACGCGUGCUACAAUGACGCCACGAACGAGCUUGCGUGAUGAAAGUUACGCAUAAUCAGCAGUCGGCGUCUUAAGGGAUAGUCUCUUGUAACUGUGGGACUCCAACUAGGAAUGUCUCGUAAGCACGAGUCAACAUCUUGUGUUGAUUACGUCCCUGCUCUUUGUACACACCGCCCGUCGCUCCUACCGAUCGAGUGUUUAGGUGAAUUUGAUGGACGUAAGGAAGUCAAAUAAACCUGAGCACUAGAGAAGAGAAGUCUAAGCAUGC